UAAUACGUAGGGAGCAAACGUUGUCCGGAUUUAUUGGGCGUAAAGGGCUCGUAGGCGGUUCAACAAGUCGAUCGUGAAAGCCCGGGGCUCAACCCCGGGAGGCCGGUCGAAACUGUUGUGACUAGAGUUCGGUAGAGGUGAGUGGAAUUCUCGGUGUAGCGGUGGAAUGCGCAGAUAUCGAGAGGAACACCAUUAGCGAAGGCGGCCCACUGGGCCGAUACUGACGCUGAGGAGCGAAAGCGUGGGGAGCAAACAGGAUUAGAUACCCUGGUAGUCCACGCCGUAAACGAUGAACACUAGGUGUGGCGGACUGAUUCAUGUCUGCCGUGCCGAAGCUAACGCAUUAAGUGUUCCGCCUGGGGAGUACGGCCGCAAGGCUA
rnacentral:rRNA from 1 species